rnacentral:rRNA from 1 species
CCUACGGGCGGCAGCAGUGAGGAAUAUUGGUCAAUGGCCGAGAGGCUGAACCAGCCAAGUCGCGUGAGGGAAGACGGCCCUACGGGUUGUAAACCUCUUUUGUCGGGGAGCAAAGCGAACCACGUGUGGUUCAUUGAGAGUACCCGAAGAAAAAGCAUCGGCUAACUCCGUGCCAGCAGCCGCGGUAAUACGGAGGAUGCGAGCGUUAUCCGGAUUUAUUGGGUUUAAAGGGUGCGCAGGCGGAGGUGCAAGUCAGCGGUCAAAUUGCGGGGCUCAACCCCGUACUGCCGUUGAAACUGGGGGGCUUGAGUAUGUUUGAGGCAGGCGGAAUGCGUGGUGUAGCGGUGAAAUGCUUAGAUAGCACGCAGAACCCCGAUUGCGAAGGCAGCCUGCCAAGCCAUGACUGACGCUGAUGCACGAAAGCGUGGGGAUCAAACAGGAUUAGAUACCCCAGUAGUC